AACUUGAGAGUUUGAUCAUGGCUCAGAACGUACGCUGGCGGCACGCCUAACACAUGCAAGUCGAACGAAGUAGCAAUACUUAGUGGCAGACGGGUGAGUAACAUGUAGGUAUCUACCCUUUGGCCUGGAAUAACACGAGGAAACUUGUGCUAAUACCGGAUAAGUCUUUACGGAGAAAGCUUUAUGCACCAUUGGAUGAGCCUGCACUUGAUUAGUUUGUUGGUGGGGUAAUGGCCUACCAAGACUGUGAUCAAUAGCUGAUUUGAGAGGAUGAUCAGCCACAUUGGGACUGAGACACGGCCCAAACUCCUACGGGAGGCAGCAGUGGGGAAUCUUGCACAAUGGAGGAAACUCUGAUGCAGCGAUGCCGCGUGAGUGAAGAAGGCCUUUGGGUUGUAAAGCUCUUUCGUCGGGGAAGAAAAUGACUGUACCCGAAUAAGAAGGUCCGGCUAACUUCGUGCCAGCAGCCGCGGUAAUACGAAGGGACCUAGCGUAGUUCGGAAUUACUGGGCUUAAAGAGUUCGUAGGUUGUUGAAAAAGUUGGUGGUGAAAUCCCAGAGCUUAACUCUGGAACUGCCAUCAAAACUUUUCAGCUAGAGUAUGAUAGAGGAAAGCAGAAUUUCUAGUGUAGAGGUGAAAUUCGUAGAUAUUAGAAAGAAUACCAAUUGCGAAGGCAGCUUUCUGGAUCAUUACUGACACUGAGGAACGAAAGCAUGGGUAGCGAAGAGGAUUAGAUACCCUCGUAGUCCAUGCCGUAAACGAUGUGUGUUAGACGUUGGAAAUUUAUUUUCAGUGUCGCAGCGAAAGCGAUAAACACACCGCCUGGGGAGUACGACCGCAAGGUUAAAACUCAAAUGAAUUGACGGGGACCCGCACAAGUAGUGGAGCAUGUGGUUUAAUUCGAAGAUACGCGCAGAACCUUACCAACACUUGACAUGUUCGUCGCGACUUUAAGAGAUUAAAGUUUUCGGUUCGGCCGGACGAAACACAGGUGCUGCAUGGCUGUCGUCAGCUCGUGUCGUGAGAUGUUGGGUUAAGUCCCGCAACGAGCGCAACCCUCACUUUUAGUUGCCAUCAUUUAGUUGGGCACUCUGAAAGAACUGCCAGUGAUAAGCUGGAGGAAGGUGGGGAUGACGUCAAGUCCUCAUGGCCCUUACGUGUUGGGCUACACACGUGCUACAAUGGUAUCUACAACAGGAAGCAAAACCGCGAGGUUAAGCAAAUCCUUAAAAGAUACCUCAGUUCGGAUUGCACUCUGCAACUCGAGUGCAUGAAGCUGGAAUUACUAGUAAUCGUGGAUCAGCGUGCCACGGUGAAUGCGUUCCCGGGUCUUGUACACACCGCCCGUCACACCAUGGGAGUUGGUUCUACCUUAAGGCAAGGUUUCAAACCCUUGACCACGGUAUAGUCAGCGACUGGGGUGAAGUCGUAACAAGGUAGCCGUAGGGGAACCUGCGGCUGGAUUACCUCCUU
rnacentral:rRNA from 1 species